ACUUGUCCUUUAAAUGAGGACUGGUAUGAAUGGCCACACGAAAGCUAUACUGUCUCCUUUUUCUAAUCAGUCAAACUAAUCUUCCCGUGAAGAAGCGGGAAUAAACCUAUAAGACGAGAAGACCCUAUGGAGCUUCAAACAACCAGGACAUUUGAUUUCACUAUACCUAUAUUAAACUAUUCUUAUUGUCCUUAGUUUUGGGUUGGGGUGACCACGGAGCAUAAACUAACCUCCAUGAUGAAUGAAUCUUCUAUCCUUAGCUAAAAGCCACAUCUUAAUGCACCAAUAAACUGACUCUUAUUGACCCAAUAAUUUGAUCAACGAACCAAGUUACCCUAGGGAUAACAGCGCAAUCCACUUCAAGAGCUCUUAUCGACAAGUGGGCUUACG
rnacentral:rRNA from 1 species